GUAUAAUGUUCAGUUUGAGAACAGAUCAUUUUAGUGCUGCUAUCUAGAGUAAGAAUGGAUUUAUGAACUGAAUGAAGUUUGUGUUUGAUGUUCUUCUUCAGACAGAGAGUGACGAGAGGUGAAGUGGUGCCCUGUCUGACCCGCACUAACCCUGACUGUCAGACCAGACAAAGAGUUAAAAACCAACACAAAACCAGCAUGAGGAACAAGUUUGAGAGAUUAUUUCAAUCAAACCCUCCUGAACAGGAUCUACACACAGCUCUACAUCAUAGAAGGAGAGAGUGAAAGGGUGAAUGAAGAACAUGAGGUUUUACAGAUGGAGAAAACAGCCAGAACACAAGACACUCCAAUCUACUGUAAUGACAUCUUUGAACCCUUACAUGAAUCAAAAUGUGAGGAGAAAGAUAAAAUCAAGACCGUUCUUACUAAAGGCAUCGCUGGAAUUGGAAAAACUGUCUCUGUGCAGAAGUUCAUUCUGGACUGGACCGAAGGAAAAGCCAAUCAGGAUUUAGAUUUCAUGUUUGUGCUUCCAUUUCGAGAGCUGAACUUGAUUAAAGAUCACCAGUACAGUCUUUACAGACUUCUGCUGGACUUUCAUCCUGAACUUCAAGAUCUGGACUCAAAGAUUUAUGAGGAGUUUAAAGUUGUGUUCAUCUUUGAUGGUCUGGAUGAAAGCAGAAUUCCACUGACAUUUUCAGAUAAUGAGAGAGUCCUUGAUAUGAAUAAGUCUUCAUCAGUGGGUGUGUUGAUGUCAAACCUCAUCAGAGGAGACCUGCUUCCCUCUGCUUUCAUCUGGAUCACCUCCAGACCAGCAGCAGCCAAUCAGAUCCCCUCAAAAUACAUCAACCGUGUGACAGAAAUUCAGGGAUUCAAUGAGCCUCAGAAGGAGGAAUAUUUCAGGAAGAGAAUCAGUGAUGAGCAUCAAGCCAGCAAAAUCAUCUCACACAUUAGAAGAUCAAGAAGCCUCCACAUCAUGUGUCACAUCCCCGUCUUCUGCUGGAUCUCAUCCACUGUGCUUCAGAACCUCCUGAAAUGAGAUGAGAGUGCAGAAAUCCCUCCAACUCUGACUGAAAUGUACAUCCACUUCCUGCUGACUCAGAUCAACAUGAGGAAUCAGAAGUAUGAUGAGAGAGAUCCAGAGAAACACCUGAAGUCCAACAGAGACUUGAUUGUGAAACUUGCUGAACUGGCGUUCAAUCAGCUGAUAAAGGGCAAUGUGAUGUUCUAUGAAGAGGACCUGAUUGAGAGCGGCAUAGACGCCACUGACGUCUCAGUGUAUUCUGGGAUGUGCACUGAGAUUUUUUAAGAAGGAAUCUGUGAUCCAUCAGAGGAAAGUCUACUGCUUCAUUCAUCUGAGCUUUCAGGAGUUUCUAGCUGCUUUCUUUCUGUUUUACUGCCAUGUAGUCGAGAAUGAGAAAUCACUGAAGUUGUUUAUGAGUGAAGAAUAUCAGAUGUCUGGUGGUAUCACUGGUACAAGAGAAACACAAGUCUGUCUGUAUGAUCUACUAAAAGAAUCAGUUGAUAAAUCCUUACAGAGUAAAAAUGGACACCUGGAUCUUUUCCUGCGGUUCCUGCUGGGGAUCUCACUGGAGUCCAAUCAGAGACUCUUACAGGAUCUACUGACACACACAGUGAACAGCUCAGAGACCAUCAAGAGAAUCACUGAGUACAUUAAAGACAAAAUCAAGGGUGAUGAAGGUCUUGCAGCUAACAGAUGCAUCAACCUGUACCUCCUUCUGCUGGAAAUGAACAAUCAAACUCUAGAUAUUCAAGAGUUUGUGAAAUCAGAGAAUUGUUCAGUGAAUAAGCUCUCUUUUGCUCACUGCUCAACCAUCGCUUACAUGCUUCAGAGUCUGAUCUGAAGAAAAUCAGCACAUCAGAUGAGGGUACCAGGAGACUGAUAUCAGCUGUGCAGGAGUGCAGAAAAGCUCUAUGUGAUGGAUGUUAUCUCACUGCUCAACGCUGUAAAUGUUUGUCUUCAUCUCUACAAUCAUCAAACUCACUGAGAGAGCUGGACGUGGGUCAAAAUGACCUGCAAGAUUCAGGAAUGAAGCUGCUCUCUGAUGAACCGAUGAGUUCACACUGCCAACUCAACAAAAAAAGGUUCACUUAAGAAAUUAAAGAUUUUUUUGUAAUGUAUCACAGACCCCAUGUGCUAAAGUCUUUGUGUUGGUACUAAAAUACAAAAAUAUAAACUUUAUUCUAAUAAGUUCUAAAAACAUCUAGCAUGGCCACUUCUAACGGAUUUAAAUUGUCGGCUACUUUUUGACAGCCCUCUCUCCUGGCUUUUGCAGACUUUAAGGUGUUUCCAGGCGUUUUGUAUAAAACAUUAAAAUUCCGAAUAAACUAUCUUGCUCUGUGGAGGAGAAAAGCUGUGCGCGCUCUUUGGCCAUGCUGAACAGCGUUGCUGAUGUUUCUACUAUCGAUACAUAUCCCCUUUUGAACCAGCGCAUGAACGCGCAGUUAUCUCAGAUAAUCAUAACCGGCAGGUGUGUUCGAAGAACCCAAUUAGCCAGAUCAGGAUUAGCACGAUAUGAUCUAGGAUGUCAUUUGAUCUCGGAUGUUUUAAGCAACGUACGAAGAAUGUGCCCCUGUGCCCCAGUAGAGCUUCAUGACUAGCAACGUCUCUGGGUGGGGGCUUACUAUGAUAUUAGACUGCAUAGCCUAUAUAAUAAAAGAUGAUGAAUUUCAAACCUGAACCAAGCAUAUUUUUAUUAAAAGUUCAACAGUCUGUGUUUAGUCUGCCACACAAAACAACAACUUUAACCUAACUUACCACAUAAUUUUUUUUUUAAUUGUCAUGUGUUAAAAUUUGUUAGCACUGAAAAUAUUGCUAAGGCAAAAACAAAAACAAUUAUAAACAGGUUUUCAGAAGCCACUGAGGGAUGAUGUCAUGGGAACACUGAGGCUAAAGCAAGUCACUGAUGUGUGCAAGUAAUAUCAAUGCUGACAAUGUCUUCUGGUCAAAUCAAUCAGGCCUUGGAGUCCAGACUUAAAAUCUUCUGGUUGAUUGUUGACAGCAUUGUCCAACAUUACAGUCACAUCUGGCCAUUGCAGAGCAAAUUCCCUCUCUGCAGUUUCCUGGUCCUGUGCACUCUGAAAGGGGUUGGUGCCAAAGUGUGAUACUCUUGUCAAUGAUCCCACCUCUUGCUCAUACCAGUCUGCAGCCACUGAUGCCUCUGGCAAAAGGUCUGUGGAUACGCGUUUUGGGCAUCCAUCUCUGGCCAAGUAACUGGGGAUUCCCUUUCCUAAAAGUAGUAAAGAUAAAAAGGAUACAUUGCUCAAGCUAUACAAUACAUUUUUUUUUUUUUACAUCAAAUAAAUCCCACUUUGUCAAAGCAUUUUGAGAAGCUGACCCACAAUCUUGCUUCAUGUGUAUAAAGUUGAAACAAGUACAAUCAAGCCCAAAAGACCAAUUCAUACGCAUUUAAAAAAAAAAACUGUCGAGGAUAAAAUACACAAAAAAGCCUUAGGCUUAUUUCCAUUGUGGUCCUCUGAGGGGGAACAAUCUACGAUAGCUUAAGGAUGACUGUUGUUAU